rnacentral:rRNA from 1 species
GACAGAGGGUGCAAACGUUGCUCGGAAUCACUGGGCGUAAAGGGCGUGUAGGCGGGAAGGAAAGUCAGAUGUGAAAUCCCUGGGCUCAACCCAGGAACUGCAUUUGAAACUCCCUUUCUUGAGUGUCGGAGAGGAAAGCGGAAUUCCUGGUGUAGAGGUGAAAUUCGUAGAUAUCAGGAGGAACACCGGUGGCGAAGGCGGCUUUCUGGACGACAACUGACGCUGGAGACGCGAAAGCGUGGGGAGCAAACAGG